rnacentral:rRNA from 1 species
GACGAACUGUCCUAACGUUGUUCGGAAUCACUGGGCUUAAAGGGCGCGUAGGCGGUCUGGUAAGUCGGGUGUGAAAUCUCGGGGCUUAACUCCGAAACUGCAUUCGAUACUGCCGUGCUUGAGGACUGGAGAGGAGACUGGAAUUUACGGUGUAGCGGUGAAAUGCGUAGAUAUCGUAAGGAAGACCAGUGGCGAAGGCGGGUCUCUGGACAGUUCCUGACGCUGAGGCACGAAGGCCAGGGGAGCAAACGGG